CGGAGGGUGCAAGCGUUGUUCGGAAUCAUUGGGCGUAAAGCGCACGUAGGCGGGUUUGUAAGUUGAUUGUGAAAUCCCAGGGCUCAACCUUGGAAUUGCAGUCAAAACUGCAGAUCUUGAAUACUUGAGAGGGUGGGAGAAUUCCUGGUGGAGAAGUGAAAUUCGUAGAGAUCAGGAGGAAUACCGGAGGCGAAGGCGCCUGCCUGGCAAGAUAUUGACGCUGAGGUGCGAAAGCGUGGGUAGCAAACAGGAUUAGAUACCCUGGUAGUCCACGCCGUAAACGAUGGAUACUAGGUGUUUGACGGAUUAACCCGUUGAGUACCGCAGUUCACACAUUAAGUAUCCCGCCUGGGGAGUACGGUCGCAAGGCUAA
rnacentral:rRNA from 1 species